ACUCAAAUGAAUAGACGGGGGCCCGCACAAGCGGUGGAGCAUGUGGUUCAAUUCGACGCAACGCGAAGAACCUUACCAGCUCUUGACAUGUCCAGUAUGGGGCCGAGAGAUCGACUCCUUCAGUUCGGCUGGCUGGAACACAGGUGCUGCAUGGCUGUCGUCAGCUCGUGUCGUGAGAUGUUGGGUUAAGUCCCGCAACGAGCGCAACCCUCAUCUUCAGUUGCCAUCAGGUUAUGCUGGGCACUCUGAAGGAACUGCCGGUGACAAGCCGGAGGAAGGCGGGGAUGACGUCAAGUCCUCAUGGCCUUUAUGGGCUGGGCUACACACGUGCUACAAUGGCGGUGACAGAGGGACGCGAAGGGGCAACCCUUGGCCAAUCUCAAAAAGCCGUCUCAGUUCGGAUUGUUCUCUGCAACUCGAGAGCAUGAAGCUGGAAUCGCUAGUAAUCGCGGAUCAGCACGCCGCGGUGAAUACGUUCCCGGGCCUUGUACACACCGCCCGU
rnacentral:rRNA from 1 species